rnacentral:rRNA from 1 species
UAGUCCACGCUGUAAACGAUGUCGAUUUGGAGGUUGUUCCCUUGAGGAGUGGCUUCCGGAGCUAACGCGUUAAAUCGACCGCCUGGGGAGUACGGCCGCAAGGUUAAAACUCAAAUGAAUUGACGGGGGCCCGCACAAGCGGUGGAGCAUGUGGUUUAAUUCGAUGCAACGCGAAGAACCUUACCUACUCUUGACAUCCAGAGAAUUUAGCAGAGAUGCUUUAGUGCCUUCGGGAACUCUGAGACAGGUGCUGCAUGGCUGUCGUCAGCUCGUGUUGUGAAAUGUUGGGUUAAGUCCCGCAACGAGCGCAACCCUUAUCCUUUGUUGCCAGCACAUUAUGGUGGGAACUCAAAGGAGACUGCCGGUGAUAAACCGGAGGAAGGUGGGGAUGACGUCAAGUCAUCAUGGCCCUUACGAGUAGGGCUACACACGUGCUACAAUGGCGUAUACAAAGAGAAGCGACCUCGCGAGAGCAAGCGGAACUCAUAAAGUACGUCGUAGUCCGGAUUGGAGUCUGCAACUCGACUCCAUGAAGUCGGAAUCGCUAGUAAUCGUAGAUCAGAAUGCUACGGUGAAUACGUUCCCGGGCCUUGUACACACCGCCCGUCACACCAUGGGAGUGGGUUGCAAAAGAAGUAGGUAGCUUAACCUUCGGGAGGGCGCUUACCACUUUGUGAUUCAUGACUGGGGUGAAGUCGUAACAAGGUAACCA